rnacentral:rRNA from 1 species
GUCCGAAUUCGUUCGACAACAGAGUUUGAUCCUGGCUCAGAACGAACGCUGGCGGCAUGCCGUAAUACAUGCAAGUCGAACGAGAUCUUCGGAUCUAGUGGCGCACGGGUGCGUAACGCGUGGGAAUCUGCCCUUGGGUUCGGAAUAACUUCUGGAAACGGAAGCUAAUACCGGAUGAUGACGUAAGUCCAAAGAUUUAUCGCCCAAGGAUGAGCCCGCGUAGGAUUAGCUAGUUGGUGGGGUAAAGGCUCACCAAGGCGACGAUCCUUAGCUGGUCUGAGAGGAUGAUCAGCCACACUGGGACUGAGACACCGCCCAGACUCCUACGGGAGGCAGCAGUAGGGAAUAUUGGACAAUGGGCGAAAGCCUGAUCCAGCAAUGCCGCGUGAGUGAUGAAGGCCUUAGGGUUGUAAAGCUCUUUUACCCGGGAUGAUAAUGACAGUACCGGGAGAAUAAGCUCCGGCUAACUCCGUGCCAGCAGCCGCGGUAAUACGGAGGGAGCUAGCGUUGUUCGGAAUUACUGGGCGUAAAGCGCACGUAGGCGGCUAUUCAAGUCAGAGGUGAAAGCCCGGGGCUCAACCCCGGAACUGCCUUUGAAACUAGAUAGCUUGAAUCCAGGAGAGGUGAGUGGAAUUCCGAGUGUAGAGGUGAAAUUCGUAGAUAUUCGGAAGAACACCAGUGGCGAAGGCGGCUCACUGGACUGGUAUUGACGCUGAGGUGCGAAAGCGUGGGGAGCAAACAAGAUUAGAUACCCUGGUAGUCCACGCCGUAAACGAUGAUAACUAGCUGUCAGGGCACAUGGUGUUUUGGUGGCGCAGCUAACGCAUUAAGUGUCCGCCUGGGGUGC